AGUGAACGCUGGCGGUAGGCCUAACACAUGCAAGUCGAACGGCAGCACAGUAAGAGCUUGCUCUUACGGGUGGCGAGUGGCGGACGGGUGAGGCAUACAUCGGAAUCUACUUUUUCGUGGGGGAUAACGUAGGGAAACUUACGCUAAUACCGCAUACGACCUUCGGGUGAAAGCAGGGGAUCUUCGGACCUUGCGCGAUUGAGUGAGCCGAUGUCGGAUUAGCUAGUUGGCGGGGUAAAGGCCCACCAAGGCGACGAUCCGUAGCUGGUCUGAGAGGAGGAGCAGCCACACUGGAACGGAGACACGGUCCAGACUCCUACGGGAGGCAGCAGUGGGGAAUAUUGGACAAUGGGCGCAAGCCUGAUCCAGCCAUACCGCGUGGGUGAAGAAGGCCCUCGGGUUGUAAAGCCCUUUUGUUGGGAAAGAAAAGCAGCAGGUUAAUACCCCGCUGUUCUGACGGUACCCAAAGAAUAAGCACCGGCUAACUUCGUG
rnacentral:rRNA from 1 species